GUGAUAAAAGACCCAGAGAGCGACGACUUCGGCUUCAGCGUGUCGGACGGUUUCUUGGAGAAAGGAGUUUACGUGAACAUGAUCAGACCUGAUGGACCCGCCGACCGAGCCGGGCUCAGACCCUAUGACAGGAUCCUGCAGGUGAACCACGUGAGGACGAGGGACUUCGACUGCUGCCUGGCGGUGCCUCUGAUAACAGAAGCAGGAGACCGACUGGAGCUGGUCAUCAGCCGCAACCCACUGGCCAACGACGACCUGGAGGACAAUAACAACACUUUGGACCGUCCACUAGACCUGUAACACACACACACACACACAGACACACACAGUACACACACAAGGAACCGGAGACGGAUCUGCAGACACACACAUCCACUGUGUCUCACUCAGCCAGGAGACAAAGUAGUGGAAACUUACAGUAUAUCUGGAACUGGCCCAAACGCUCACACACACACACACACACACACACACACACACACACACACACACACACACACAUACAAUCCAGCAGCUUGCAAUAAUUCUACGAAAGCGGGGCCAGAGAGUGAGCAGAGAAUCCACCAGAGGCUCCUGACGACUCUCGUUGCUGCUCGAGCACAAACGACCACGAACCUGGGACGUUAAAAAAAACAACAUUUUAACUGAUACACAUUGUUUUUGUUUUUUAUCUUAAAACAAACCUGAAAUUUGAGCAAAGUGAUUUCAGCUGCGUUUUCAAUGUGAGACCACAGCUUCCCAGUAAGAAAGUCCCAGUGCUGAUGGUUCCAGACGAAUCUGCCUUAUUACACAUUCUAGGAAGUUUCAAGUGCACCUGAAGUGAUGAAGAGAAGACGGCCUUGCUUAGGUUUCAGAUUUAGUUUUGGGUGAUGUUUACAUUGUGUCUGUACAGAUGUGGCCAUAUUGUUGCUCACGUUCUGCUCAAAUAUUCUGGCUCCCGAGAGUCAUUUCCCUGGAAAAGGUGGAGUUGAGCUGUUUUUCCAGGUGUCCAGUCCUGUAGUCGGACUUCUGAAUCGGACGUUGCUCAUCAAGUCACCACGCUGAAAAUCUGAGUUUACGCCAUCAUCACAUGGUUGAGACAACGAUGUCAACUGCCGAACUCUCUGGCAGCUGUGGUCAUUAGAUAACAACUCGUGUGUGUAGCACUUCUGAGAAAUCCAGUAGAACAGGAAACAGGGACCGAGCCGUUCACAGUUAAAGCUUGUGAGCUCGAUAGAAGCAGAUGGCAGAUGAAACGAAAAGCCAACGUGUUUAUCCAACUUGGUUAAUCUUUACAUUAGAGAAACAAACAUGUUGCAUAAGAGCCGUUGGUAAUACCCACUGGCAAACAUCAGAACUCGCCUGGGCAGGAGAUGACAGCGCUUAAGACCAGUGCUGACCCGGGAACACAUCCACUCUCCUAGCGAGCUUAAUGCUGAAGAACUGCGAUGUUUCUACAUCUUCUGCAAGAUGCAAUUUAGCAUCGAUGCUUCCCACUUGCACUGGUAAAACUUUCAGGCAUAACUGAGCAGGAGCAUAGUGGCUGCUGCACAUUCUUCUACGACUAGAGUCACACAAAAAAGCAACUGCAUAACAGGAAGUAACAGGUUUCCAGUGUUAAAGGAAUAGAUGCUCACAAUUAUCAUCACUCUCACUACAGAGAUCCCAGGUAUAGAUGACGGUAUCGUCUGCAAACAGUGGGACUGGAUCUGUCAGGUGGAAGAUGAAGCACCAAGUUGUUCAGACUCGCAGCGUGUCACACAGACACACACACACACACACACAAACACACAGAUGAGGGCCAGUAUGCUGUGUGUAUGUGAUUUAACGUUUGUUCAUGGUCCUGGAUGUUUGCUGAACUUGGUGUGUCAAAAAAUACAAUACAGAGUACGGUACAUAGUAUAGUACAUAGUAUAGUACAGAGUACAGUACGGUACAGAGUACAGAAUAGUACAAAGUACAAUAACACAUGCGCUGUGUCUUAAAUCAUCCACUUAUUCACAAACACUUACUUUACUAUAGAGAGACUUCUGUGUAGAGGACGAUUUAUUGAGCUCAUACGCACAGACACACAAAAUGGUGAACUCAUGAUCUGGUGAACUACAGUGAUCAGUGAGCGAUCUCAGAACAGACCAGGCUGGUUCCCUCUCAAUUGAACUGGGACUGCUGCCAAGAAACCACAACGUUAUAACCAGUUACCAGUGGAGUCAAGUGUAGGAUCUGAUGGUGGAGGCCUAUGUUGAACCCAUGUCAUUAAUUUCUGAGACAUCAUAUUUGGCUUUGGACAAUGUCUUAAUACUCAAUUUCCCAUGAGCCUCAGCUGCUGCUGCUUUGGAGACAAAGCCUAAUAACCCCUCCAUCAAUUCCAAUGCUUAGUCAUUACUGUUAAAGACAAAACCACCAUAGUUGUUUCUAUUCAUUCAAAAGUGAGAAUUCAUGAAUUUUGCAUUUAACUCAUAUUUUGAUCCGUGUGGUAACGACAGAUUCUUCCUUUCAUGGUUUUCUCAAGAUUCCAUCCCAAAAAGUGAUGUGUGUGUGUGUGUGUGUGUGUGUGUGUGAGCAAAAAUGUGUAGAAACUACACAACGCACAGGAAUAAUACACGUGAGAAUGUGUGAAAGAGAGAAGGAGGGAACGGGAACAAUCACAGCUUCUGUUCUCUCGCUCUCUUUCACUCGGGGUGGGUCUCUCACUCUUUCCUCACAUUGUUACAUAACACAGUUAGAAUCCAGCUGCCCCCUCUAAGAACGCCCCUAUACAUGUGUGUGUGUGUGUGUGGGUGUGUGACUUAUUAUCGUCACGUGUGCAUCUGUAUGUGUGUGUGUUGGUGUCUGUGUGCACUAUAUACAUGUGUGUUUACAUGUGUGCAUGACUUUUUUCUUUCGAACACGUUUUGACUCGUCUGAGUGUUUGAGCUCGAGUGUUAGCGUGUGUGUGUUAGCGUGUGUGUGUGAGUCCGAGCGAGCGUUAGCUGGUGUACAUUUCAUUGUACAGCGGUGAUUUCCAUCAGGGCCGUUCACCGAAACCCUGAUGAGACACAAAACAGGACCGACUCCGUUUCCGUGAGCGAGCCACACAACGCUUUUCAUGAAAACCACACACAAAAAAAACUGAAGGGACUUCAACCUCUUUCCAAGCACUUACUACAAAAAGAGAAGCACACUGUUGAAUACCAUGCACUGUAAGUAUUUUCAUGUACAACGUUAAAAAAGACGAGUUUUUUUAUUACGCAAAAAUCAAGUGGCACAAAAAAAUGAAAUGGAAAAAAGCAACAAAAGAGAGAGACGUUUAAAAGCCUUCCAAAGUGAUCUGUUGGUUUUCAUGUAUGUAUGUAAAUACGUAUGUGGUCAGUCAUACUCCCUAUGCAUUUCUGGGGUCAAAGGUCAGUUCCAAGCCAAAUCCAGAGUCGUAACACACAAAUCAUAUUGUGAUUUUAUUUUAACGUAAUUUCAUGUUUUACAGUCGAAUGGUUGAGAUUUACCUUCGACACCGCAUUACAACAAUUAGUAAUAAUUCAAUGUGGGUUUCACGACUCCGCCCUGUCAUCAUCCUGAAGCCGAUAACAGAUUAGUAAUUAGCUUUACAAUCUGGAACCCCUUAAAACCCACACAUUCCCCCAAAAAUCCACUGUGUUUACAUUGAUCACCUUUAGCUUGAAGUGAAUCCACUGUCUAAUGAAGAGGAUUCCAUUUUCUUGACCAGAGAAUCGAGCCUGGAGAGAAGAUUUGAAUUCUUCAUCUCUCAGAGUUCCCUCGUGUUGAGGUUUCUGUCAAACGGAUUCUCAUCAGCAGUCAUUCACUCUCUGGAGACGCAGGAGAAAAGAUCACGAUGCUGUUGUUUCCUUUCAGUUUGGUUUUUCCAUAUAAGGGGAGGCCAUACUGAAAAUAAAAUAUACAACUACACUAUAUUAUAUAAUAUAUGAUAUAGUCACCUUACUGUUAAACUAUUAAAAAUGGUGGCUAUAGGUUAUGGUCUAAUCUUAUCUGAUCGGGGCUCAUCCAUCUUUGAAGUUAUCGACUCGUCUCCUCUGCAAAAAACAGAAAUUUCUUAAACUGAAUUUAUCUGAUUUUCUCCUUUUAAAGUCAAAUCACGUGAAGCCCAAAAAAUGAAAUUCCCAAAGAACUGAGUCCUUGUUCUGUGUUGCUCAGAAAACUUGGUCAUCUGAGCAUCCGGUUGUUUAAUUUGAACCAUAUUGACGUUACUGUAAACAUGAAUUUAUUUUUACUGUGGACUUCCAGCAAACCGUCUGUACACAAAGAGGAAAUGCUGCAUAUUUCCGAAAAGCACAUUUUGGUGUCUCUGACUAUCUGCUUCACAUUUCUGAUAAUUGCAUGUCAACAUUUGGCAUAACGGCUUUUCUUUGUAUGUAUUUAUUAAUUUUACAUAAAAUAAUUUUUUAAAAGAUGUGUUGACAAGUGGCAUCAAACUGUGUGUUACGAUUCCGGAUUGUGUUUCUUGUAAUGUAUGCGAUGUGUUGACAUUGUGGUUUGUUUGUUUUUUUCAGAUUGUGUAAAGUUCUAUUCUAUGUAAUAUAGUAUUUUUCUAUGACGAUAUUACAGAAAUUACAAAACAAACAUUAUGAAAAGGGAAAAUAAAAUGUAUAACUUUGUCGUUGUUCGUCUUUUUCUUUUUCAUUUUCUAUGAAACAAAGCGUGUACUGCUAUACUUCUCUUUUUGAGAAGAACGUGAGAAAAAAAUGGAAGAAUAAAAUGUCUAAUUUUA